GCCAAAAUAUAAACAAAGCAAAGUAACCACAUCACACUUGACUUGUUAAUGUUGAUGAUUUCUAUGCUUUUCCUUAAUGACAUGUGUUGCAAACUGCUUUUUGUUGUAAAGACAAUCUUUACGAAUUAUUAUACCCAUCAUCAGGACAAAAGCAUCGUUUGACAUUUUAACUAUUGCAUGCUUAAUUGAAAGAAUAACGUUAGGCUUAUAUAAGUGGUUGAUGUACGGUUAUAGACCCCUGAUUCAUCAUUUUACCUGUUUAACACUAAGCCUAUAUGACAAUCGCAAAACUAAUAUUGAUUGUAGAUAAACUUUUAUGUAAUGAUUUGAGAUUUCCAAAUGCUUUGUGGAGAAUGAAAAGAUGAGGAUUUAUUUAAGAUGUUAUUUAAGGAUGUUUAAAAGACUUCCAAGAGUACUAGCUUGCAAUAAUUCUUGUGCAGUGGAAAGGAGAUUAUGUACUGCUAAUCUUGACAGCUUUAUACUUAAAAACAGCAAGGACACUCUCUCAAAAGUAAAAAGGAUGGAGAUAAAUGGGCUUCCUAUUAUCCACCAUGAUGGCUAUGUUUGUGAAUUCCCCAUGAAGCAUAGAUUCGCCAUGAGGAAAUUUCAUGGAGUUUUGAGAUUUUUGAAGACUGACAACGUUAUAUCCAUGAAACAAGUCCUAGAGCCGUCUGCUAUAGAUCCUGAUUUUCUGAAACUGGUACACACUCCUGAUUAUGUAGAACGCUUCCUCAGUGGAAACACGUCUGUUGAGGAACAGAGGCUUACAGGCUUUCAGUGGAGUACUGGAAUUGUAUCACGAUGCCGGCUUGAAACAGGAGGGACCCUGCUGGCAGGUCAGUUAGCAAUGGAGCAUGGAAUAGCUUGCAGCACAGGGGGAGGAACCCACCACGCCUUCCCCAGUCACGGGGCUGGGUACUGCCUUCUUAAUGACCUUGCAGUAACAGCUGCAGUAUUGUUCAAAGAAUGCCAAGUCAAAAAGGUCCUCAUCGUAGAUCUGGAUGUUCAUCAGGUGUUUUGUGUUUAUGUAUUUGCUUACAAAUUACAUUUGUUUAUAUACUAAAAAUAAUUAUUUUCAAUCUUAAGUCUUCCUCAGCUCCUCUUCAAUUUUCCCACUAACAAAAUGGGCAUAUAUCAUUGAUCACAAUAUGAUUGGUGGUCAUGUGGAGAAUGAGCAUUUAAGUCCAUGUGGGAUAAAAAGGAGGACCUCAAAGCUGAAGUGUAGUUCUUUUGCAAAAUGUUGUGUUUUAUCUAAUAAUAAGCUAUCCAAAUGAGGUUUCAUUAUUAAAAUCCAGCUUAUUGUGCAGUCAGCAUUAUUAAAAUUUACACCUUUUCCAAUCUACAUGUACAUGCAUGUAUAUGAGAUUACUUUUUAAGCAGACAUUGUUCAUUUGAUCUCAUUCCUUAAAAAUGUAGAGUUAUUGUUUUGUAACUCACUGACUGCUUACAGAGAUUAUUUCCUUUAAUCUUCAGAUAUUUUACAUCAUAGGAAUUUCUAUUGUAAGGAAAUUCAUCUACCCCAUGGGUCUAAACCGAAAGAGGGGGAGGGGGUCCUGUCCUCAAGCACCUAUGAGAUUGGAUGCAAAUUUUGAAGUUAAAACUCUCACUUCACAGAUGAGACACAAUAUAAACAAAAAAAUAAUUUUAUAUUCUCUAAGCAACAGUUUAUCAAAUGAAAUUCCAUUUAAUUGGAUUUAAGGAAACUAUACAUCAAUCUAAAAAUGCCAAAGUGACACUGUCAUAACUAUUCUGCACAUUAUUCCAACUGAGUCGGGACGGGGAGGAGAAAAAGUAUAACUGAAGAGAAUCCCUCCCAUUGCUAAACAUCUUACUCUCAUAUUGCUUUCAACUAUAAGGAACUUGAUUGUACAACUCUGUCUCUUGUCAUUCGAAUUAUUUUUAACAGGGCGAUGGGACAGCCUGCAUAUUCAGCGACAACUGUGCAGUCUUCACAUUUUCUAUGCACUGCGAGAAAAAUUAUCCCCUCAAGAAGCAGAUGAGUGAUAUGGAUGUUGGUCUUGUAACUGGAAUAACUGACAAGGACUACUUAGCUCACCUACAUUCCUACCUUCCUUGGUUGUUGGAAAGUUUCAGACCAGACAUUGUCCUCUACGACGCUGGGGUGGACCCACACGAAAAAGAUGAGCUGGGUAAACUUAACCUCACAGAUAAUGGGUUAUUUCAAAGAGACUUUUAUGUAAUCAAUUUGUGUGUGUCACGUGGGAUUCCAGUCGCCACCGUGAUCGGAGGAGGCUACGAUAAAGACAUCAACAUGCUUGCAUUGCGUCACACGAUUGUUCACAGAGCAGCUAUCAAAGUAUGGCAGAGUCGAAUAAUGGGUGGAUGAUUGAAGUCUUAAAAGUGAAAUUUAUGAAUCAACACAAAAUCGAGUAAGCAGGAUUUAUACAGGAUAGUUCAUGGUUUGUGCUGGUAAAUGACUUUUAUUCAAUGGAUGUAUGUUUUCUUUAGAACUAACAGAGUUGUAUAAAGAUAAUAAACUGUCAAACACC
rnacentral:misc_RNA from 1 species